rnacentral:rRNA from 1 species
CAGUAGCCGCGGGAAAACGUAGGGUGCAAGCGUUAAUCGGAAUUACUGGGCGUAAAGCGUGCGCAGGCGGUUUGUUAAGACAGAUGUGAAAUCCCCGGGCUUAACCUGGGAACUGCAUUUGUGACUGGCAAGCUAGAGUAUGGCAGAGGGGGGUGGAAUUCCGCGUGUAGCAGUGAAAUGCGUAGAUAUACGGAGGAACACCGAUGGCGAAGGCAGCCCCCUGGGCCAAUACUGACGCUCAUGCACGAAAGCGUGGGGAGCAAACAGGAUUAGAUACCCCUGUAGUCCCUGUCUCUUAUAC